GAAAUUGUUGUGAAUUUUUAAUUGAACUUACAAGAAAACAAAACAUUAACCAUAUCCGAUUCUCUCUGUCAGCCAAUCCCCCAUUUGUGCUCUCAUCUCUCAUACAGUAGCAGCCCUUCAUCCGAGUCCUCUCCAGCUAUCUUCGAGUUACCUAGCUCAAAAGUCUCUAGAUGCACAGUUACAGAGAACUGGAGUGCUGGAUUCUUCUGAAAGCAUUUACAUGUUUGCUGAAGAUUAUCAAACAUUUAGAGCAUUGUGGGCUGAGCAAGGUGAUGAGAUAAGCCUCGAGUAUGCUGGCAAUUAUGCCCUGAAAGGGGACCUGGUUAGAUAUGGGAAGCAGACAUUUUGAGGAAUAAUCAAAGAUGGGAUUAGUGCUCUUUCAAGAUACUAUUUGAAUAACUUUCAGGAUGGCAUUCGGCAGGAUGCUAUGGAUCUUAUCAUUGGCUGCUAUACAGUCAGAAGGGACACUUCAACAUUCCGGGCUGAAUCUUUUUCUUUUCUACCGGUGGCAUCAGCUUUGCUAAUUGGAGGGUUGACACUGACAUCUGUCACACUUCAGCAAGCUGGUCGAAAUGCCCAGCAAUAUAUGUCUUCUGUCCUUUUGGCUCGUGUGACUGCUGGAGUAGCGGCAGUGGUGAAAGUUAACGGAAGGCAAUUCUGUUCGAGACCUCGCUUGUGCAGAGUUGUGUAACAUUAUUCUGAACUCGUUCAAACGUGUUUGUUAGGAUCCGCGCAGAAGUCCUUGCGAGGGUGCCCAUGAAAUCGCUGUUCUGUGUGCCAAGUGUCUCUAAGAUCCCGUCUUUAGCCGCCAUGCAUUUCCAAAACAAGAACCAAAAGCAGUUGAUGGACCUCCCCGAAGGAUGCCUCCUCGAAACCCUUUCGAGAAUGCCCACAAAAUCACUAUUCCGUGCGUCAUGUGUGUCUAAGACCUUGUGCGACCUAGUCCAGCGCCCGUUUUAUGCUGCCAUGCAUGCGCAAAAUGCUGCUACUACCAUCGUUGAAGAGCCUCAAGUUGUGGUUCUUACCCAUUCUAACGGUCUUUAUAGGUUGAUUACCUUGCCAAUCAAGGCUAAUAACUAGAAGGCAAUGGUCUUUCUUUCUGGCUUUUCGUCAGCAAGCCAAGUCAAUCCGCUUACAGGGGACUCUAACUGUUCCAGCUCCGCUGCCAUGUAAAGUAGAUGAUGAAGAGCUCAAGCAUGAGUGGUAUGGUAUGGGAUUCGAUCCCAUUAUAUAUUAUCACCCACAAGAUUGUAUGUGUAUCUCGAUGAAGAUUGAAAUCAAAAUCUGAAUCUGAACCAGAACUGGACCGCCUUGUGACGCAAAUUUAUGUGUUGGGGUUGACAAGGAGAGAGAUACCCUCAAUUCCUCCUUGUCACAGUAAGAGUUGUGUAUCUGCAUAUGGAAACGUGCAUGGCUGCUUGGUUUCUCUUCUGAACAUGACAUGCAUAUAUACAAAAACUUCAUCCUUUAUUUUGACUUCCGAAACGAACUCCUCAUCCUCCCAACUUGCCAAACUGCGAAGAUAGUAUUCUUCACUUGAUCAAUUUGAGCGGACCUUCGGCCACCGUUGAUGUUUCUUCAAUAACAAAUGAUAACCGAUAUGAUAUAUGGGUGUUGAAAAAUUAGUAUGAUGAUACGAAGAGACUCUUGUGGGAAAAAGAGUACAACAUGUAAAGGGACACCUCACUCUUAGAUAUUUUCUGUUAUGUAACAGCUGUCAAUUAGUCACAUGUGUUUUGUUGUUAAUCACACUGUUAGUGAUUAAUUUGGGGUCAUUAGUAACUAAGCUUAUUUGGCAAAGUGUAUAUAAACUCUCAUGU